AGCUGGAUUCUGGUGCCAGGGCUGUGCACACACUGAUGGCUGAGCGCUGCCUAUAACACAUCAGAGAGGACAUAGCCUGCAGGAGGCAGCUGAUCAGCCAUGGUGUCAUGGAUCAUCUCCAGGCUUGUAGUGCUAAUAUUUGGCACUCUGUACCCCGCGUAUUACUCCUACAAAGCUGUGAAAUCGAAGGACAUUAAGGAAUAUGUAAAAUGGAUGAUGUACUGGAUCAUAUUUGCACUUUUCAUGACCUUGGAAACAUUUACAGACAUAUUCCUGUGCUGGUUUCCAUUUUACUAUGAGCUGAAAAUUGCUUUUGUGGCCUGGCUGCUGUCUCCCUACACGAAAGGAUCUAGCCUUCUUUAUAGAAAAUUUGUUCACCCAACACUAUCCUCAAAAGAAAAGGAAAUUGACGAGUGUCUCAUCCAAGCAAAGGAUCGCAGCUAUGACGCCCUGGUACAUUUUGGCAAGAGAGGUCUGAAUGUUGCUGCCACAGCUGCGGUCACGGCUGCCGCCAAGGGGCAGGGAGCACUGUCAGACAGACUAAGGAGCUUCAGCAUGCAGGACCUCUCCCUAAUUCGUGGUGAUAGCCCCUCAGCCUCUCCGGUCACAGCAAGGACAACAAGCAAAUCGACCAAGGCUAAGUUAUCCCGAAGCGCAACGCAGGGCAGCGAACCCUCAGUGUGUACGUGUUGCUCUUCUGGAAAAUUCAUACGAGAGGUGGAUCAGUGUGAGACAACCAGUGACACAUCCUAUGAGACACAGGAAAUGAUUUCAGAUGAAGAAGAUGAUGGUGGAAUUGUUAUACUGAAGCAGCCCCCUAUACACAAACCACCACGGAAGAAGGACCGACCUGUUGAGGGGAUAAAGAGUGGAGACCACUGAUGUCAUGAGCCCCAGUUUAAUCAAAAGGACUAGACACAGGAGAGACCGAACAGAAGGUCGCUCAAUCUCCACCGAAAGCAGCUUCCGUGAAAAGACCAGAAGACUCCAGGAGCAGAACAAGCUUAAAAAAGCCGCAGUAAGACUCCAUUAACCAUGACACUGCUGGUUAAUCCUCCGCCCAGAGUCCAUAAGCCUCGAUUCAGGAAGAAAAUUACCUCUGCCUCUAACACAGAAACUGCAUGAAUGCAGCCAACAUCAAGAACCACAGAAUGUCUCUUCACUGCCUUAAAGGAGCAAUUUGCACCAUGUGACAAGGUGGCGCUAGAAUUCACAAAAACGAAACAAAUCAGCCAUGACUUCACCCGAAUCCUUUACCUCCCUCAUCAGAUCUGUCAGUGUUCAGCUUUCACUACGUAGCUGCUUGAAACUGCUCCAAGAACCUUUGAAGACAUGACGAGCUUUCUGACUGAUUGUGAGCCCUGCUGGGACCUUGCAGCCCCCUGAGCCUACGACGUGGAAGCUGCCGUUGUCCUGAGCAGUGCCCGUCCGCGUCCUGAUGCCCAUCUUAAGUAUUGGUUUAUUGAUGACAAUGAAUAGCCAUGUGUGUCGGAAAUCUCUUCUCUGUACCUGCUACAUCUUUACUUUUUGUUUGUAUAAAUUAUGAUUGUCUUUUUUUAUGUCUCGGCUUCACCUGUGAUCUUUAGGCAAUGCGGGUAGGUUUACCCCAGUGGACUAGUCCGAAAUUACGUUCCAGAUGGAAUAAACAGCUGUCAGUGCAUCCUGCAAGGUAGUAGUAUGAGAGUAGAAAAAGAGGCUCUGGUUUGGUUUCCAGAAACAGCGCCACACUUAAAAAGCAGUCUGACAUUUUUACAGGAUAUUCUCGCCAAAUCUUUUUGUAUUUUAGAGUACCACUUGCAGUACCACUUUCCACCAUUAUGGUCAGGAAAAAUAAUCCAUAGACAAAUGUGCACCAGCACCACCAAUUCUCAUACAAUUUAAAAGAGCAUGUCACCAUGUACCUGAGUAAUAAACCAAAUAAAAGUUGAUAGACCUUCCAUUCAAGAGACAAAGUGAAGUGCUGUUCAAGAAAUUCACAAUAAUUAGCAUGUUUCUGGGUGAAAAAUCCUUCUUUCAUAGAUGAAUUCAAUUUUCAGAUCUCCGGUAUCAUUCGGAGACAGUUUUGAAGAUCUUACAUAAAAGCUUUUGUCCAACCCCAAAAAAAUAAAAAGUUGCCAGCUGAUUACCCAGCAUGCCCUGAGCUCCUAUCCAACCUCUGGGACCUGGACCCCACUUAUCACCUGCUGUAUAGGAUGCAGAUGGCUCCCCCAACCUGUAGUCUAUGGGAGCUACAAAAGAGAGAAGAUAUAUAGAUAUUUUUACAUCUUUCUUUCCUUUCAUAUCCACUGCUGCUUUUAACUCAAAAACAGCAUUUGUGAAUCCAGUCUUAGAUCUCAGGGGCUUGUCCUAUUAGUAAAGUUUGAGGGAAUAGAAGAAGGUUCAGGAUCAUCAACCCUUGGCCAGAGCGUCUCUUGUUCUGGAGGACACGUCCUGUUCUUCAAUACACAGACGUCCAAUUGAUUCACCUGAGCACUAUGUAAUGCUUCAUUUCUCCUGAGAUGGCGCUGUAAGGAAAUUUGAACACUUACCGCCAGGUUUCCCCACACAUUAUAGCUGAUCGCUGGGUGUCCCAGCAGGAGGACACUUUAUGGGCCUGGUAUUGUCAAGGGACCCUUCUAUCUGUCCAAAGCAGAUAGUCUCUUUAAAGGCCACACACAUGCACAGCCUCUGACUCCCUUGCUCUCUGAUGAUCUGGUUGUGAUUUUUAACAACCAGGUUGGAAGUAGCACGAUCAGGUAGGGUGGUGGAGGUUCUCCAGGUCCCUGAGGUGGUGGAGGUUCUCCAGGUCCUUGAGGUGGUGGAGGUUCUCCAGGUCCCUGAGGUGGUGGAGGUUUCUCCAGGUCCAUGAGGUGGUGGAGGUUCUCCAGGUCCCUGAGGUGGUGGAGGUUCUCCAGGUCCCUAAGGUGGUAGAGGUUCUUCAGGUCCCUGAGGUGGUGGAGGCCCUAGUUACACACACUCCCUAUAAUGCAGGCCCUGGAUUCUGCACUGUAGUUAAUAAGUCACGCUUAUUUCAAGUGUGACCACGCCCCUUAUAUAUGGUCACACCCACUUUUCCAUCAAAGAUCAGGACUCUAUUGAGUUUACUAAUAUGGCUUGUGGCAGCAAUGCAGUAGUACUAUGUGUAAAUAGCUGUUGUACAUAAUAUUUAUUUCACUAUUAUUUAUGAAAAAUAGAAAAAAAAUCUACUAAAUUCUUAAUGUCUCACAAAUAUAAAAAAACAAAAAUGUUGAACGCGUCCCUGCUUACUGUCUCGAAAUUGAAAAAACUAUCAAACUCCCCGGGUGCGUUAAUUUUGGCUGUGGCUCUAGACACCUGCAAAAGUCUACCUAUAGCCGGCAGAGCAUUCUGAGGGUUGUAGUUUCCACAGGUGUUGAACCACAGCGUAGGAAAAUAAGGACUGUUGUAUAUUAGCCUGGACCGUUGCAAUAAUUGAUAAUAAGUAGGUUGUUCCCAGGGCGGGGCUUACAUGUUGUAUGCUGAAAGUGUCUUUUUGGCUGCUAUUCAACUAAUCUUAAAAAAAAAGUACUGGUAUAUCAUACAGUAUACCUUUAUUUUAAUGAAAGUCUAUAGGUGUCGUAUGUAACGGUACAGGCGUGUUCACACAUGGUGGAUGUGGUGCAGAUUUGCCAUCAUGGAUUCUCGUCUUAAAAUGAGAUUGCAAGAAUUCUCAUCCACACGCUAAGGAUUUUUUUUUAAUGACUUGCGGCAAUGAUUUAAAAUUGGCAUCUUAUCAAUUUACACUGCGGAUUUCCACAACAGAAUUCACCCUUUGCAAUGCAGAGAUGAAAUCCACAGCCAUUUCCACUGCAAAAGCUGGACUUUUCUAUUGUAUUUUACAUCCCACAUGUUGGGGCCUCUUGUUAGAGACGUUGCAGGUGAAAUUAAAAAAAAAUUUGAGAACUGUACUCGCUGCAGCCUCUGCAGAUUGAAUGAGAAUCAAGAUCCCAUAAGUAUUUUAUUUAGUGUACGAAACUUGGUCCUACUAAAUCUUAAAGGGGCUUCCUGAAAAUCCCAAUGUUCAACUGUCCCAAAUGGGCUGUGAAAGGGGUGUAUUUAGGCAAAUUUGUGUCAAAAGGCUAAGGGGGAGAUUUAUCAAACUGGUGUAAAGUAGAACUGGCUUAGUUUCCCAUAGCAGCCAAUCAGAUUACGCCUUUCAUCGGUUGCUAUGGGCAAAUAAGCCAGUUCUACUUUACACCAGUUUGAUAAAUCUCCCUCGAUGUCUAUACUUUUAUAUCCAGGGUCCAUCUUAUGAUACACAAUUGGGGUCAUUUAUCAAACUGGUGUAAAGUAGAACUGGCUUAUUUGCCCAUAGCAACCGAUCAGAUUCCAAUUUUAAUUUCUGACAGAUCCUGGUAAAUGAAAGGCGGAAUCUGAUUGGUUGCUAUGGGAAACUAAGCCAGUUCUACUUUACACCAGUUUGAUAAAUCGGAAUUCUACCUUUCAUUGUUCACAACUCCUCUGGAAAAUGAAAGGCGUAAUCUAAUUGGUUGCUAUGGGCAACUAAGCCAGUUCAACUUUACACCAGUUUGAUAAAUGACCCCAUAAGUCUGUAUUAUAGCCAGAAUCUUUCCAAGUCUGCUGACCUGAGAUCACCACAGAACACUAUGCAAGUUUAGUUAGUUCAGGAGGCCACCAUUUUAUGGAAAGACAGAAAACUAUUGACCAAGUGUAAAAAAACUAAACCUGAGGGGUCAAUCUUAUGUAGAAGUCUUUGUACCAAUUUAUAUAUGUCAUCGACAGUAUAUCUACUGAGUAAUAGAUAAUAUAAGUACCAAAGUUGUCCUUUAGUAAAAUGUCAAUAAAGUUUAUUUAAUGAAGAACAGGGAGAGGUCCUUUAGUACAGUGUCAAUAAAGAUUUUUUUUUGAGAGAAGAACAGGAAGUGGUCAUAAACCUUUCAGGUUGGUCUCCAAGUUGUGAUCUUGGCUCCUGAUCACAGAGAUCAGCCUGAGGUUGCAAACCUGAGAUCUUCAUUGCUUAUAAAAUGUAUAAGCCCCUAAUAAACAAUUUUUACAAAGUUGUGAAGAA